ensembl:lncRNA LINC01755 long intergenic non-protein coding RNA 1755
UUUUUUUUUUUUGUUUUUUUUCUAAUGGAGUUUGUGUGUCCGUUCAGUAGGAAAUGGAAUGGAAUUAAACCACGUUCUAAAUAAAAGCCAGUGCUUUUACUGUAGGAAUAGUCAUUCUUCACUUUAACUCAUGACUCAAGCUUUCUUUGAAAAAAAGUUUACUCAGAUAAACACGAGUUUCAUAGAAGUCAGUUAUUCUACCAGUAAACUCAAACCUUGUGCUCACAUUUAAUCAACAUUGUAUUACAGGUAUCAUCAUCUCUACCUUUUGUGAGUGUUUAGCCCCUCAUCGGUCUUGGUUUACUUCUGCUAGUGUUAAAAUUUUAUGUCUGGUACUGUACAAUAUUGCUGAUACUAUACAAGCUUAACAUAAAUUAGUGGACAAGCUAGUGUAUAGAUGUUUUAACUGCAUUGUCAUAGAAAUCCUUGGUGCAUUGUUAUAUAGAUGUUUAUGGGUACUUUAGCAAUAUUUGAAGAAAUUGAGGUUUUAGACAGGCUGUUUUUCCCCAUUUAGGAUAAGCUAAUCCUUCUAUCCAAGUGUGUCCUAUCCAAAAUGUUUUCAGGAAAGGAUUAAUCUUUGAUAAAAAUUAGAUGAAAUUAAAUAUGCACUUUAUUGUAUCUCAGGCAAAACUAAAUAAGAGACAUAAUGAAGGAGUCAGAUGCUUGUCCUUGUGUGGAGAGACACCAGGUGAUGACUACAGACACGGACCAAGCCAGGUGCACUGAAGUGGCCAUAAAUACCUAGUGGCAUUGUCUUUAAUAUGCCUUUACAAAAUAGGUAUACUUUGUUUUCAGAACUUUAUCAAAAGUCAGCCUUAUUCUGAGGUGAUGCAUUCUUGGAAACUAUUAACCAGUAUAAAAGUUCCAAGAUCAGAUUUAAUUAUUUUUUAAUCUGCACAUAAGUUAUUCACUGUGUUGGGCUGUCAGAGACUUAACAUUCCGGAGCUUUGGAGCCCUGCCCACUGGUUGCCAGUGGUGACAGCCUGCAAUAGUUGUGACAACUAAAACUGCCCUCAUGAGUUUUUAAAGCAACCUGGGUGGGUGGUGACACUCUGUCUUAGGAGUUGUUGCAUUAUACUGUCCAUCACCAUUGAGAGCUGAUCUCAUGGUCCACAACUUCAGAGGGGAUUGAAAUACCAGAGUCAGAGUUGACAGACAACACUAGCAGGUUCCUCACUACCACCCUGUGGUUGAGAUACAUAAGGAAUAACUACAUAACUCAUGAGCUUCCAGAGGCUGAUAUGCCUCUGACAUGUAGAAUAUAGGUUAGUCAAGAAGUGGCUUCAGACUCAGAUUUCAUGGGCCUAAGUCGCAGCAAUGUGAGAAUAGGUUAUUUGCUUAUCCUGUUCAAAUUACUCAUCUGUCAAGGGGGUAUAUUUUAAUAGCAAGUAUCAUGGGUUUACAAGAUACCGUAUAAAGCACCUAAUAGUGCUUGGCACAAAGAACACAAAUGUUACAUGCUAUGAAGUUAUUCUUCUCUAAGCUUUUGUUACCAAGUUAGGGAACUUGUAUAUUAGGAAAAUAUAAGUGUUGUCCAAUAACUAAUACCACAGGGAACUCAAGUUCUGACAAGAGGAUUCAUUUAUCAAAAUCUAGAUUUGUAGACCCCUUGACAGAGUCCAAAACUGCAUUUAGGUAAAGGGAGAUCCACAGGUAUAUGCUCAUUGCUCUAAGCCUAUUUUCAAGGUUGUAAGCUUGCUUGGUUAUUUCUAAAAGUCCUAUGUUGCUAAGAAACAAUUACUGUUAUGACUAGACAAUACUUUAGCUCUUUAUUUUAAAAAUCAAGUCUUGGUAUUAAUGAAGGAAAGCCUGAACAUUUCCAUGUCUCUUCCACUAAGUUUAAGAUAAGCUCAUUAUUGAUCAAAACCAAGUUAAACUUCUAAAGGUAAAGGCAUCUGUUUUACAUUAUCUUUUAUGACUUGGAAUAUUUGACUGGUAUUUCUAUUGUGGUAUAAAUGUUUGAAGAGCAAGGUCCCUGGUUUUCUGCUUCCCAGAACUAUUAAGAACACCAAUUGCAAUCACUGUCAGUCCUUGGGGGACAAUUUGCAUGUGAACAACUGAUUAGUCAGCUUGUCUGUUCAUUUUUACAUGAACUGCAUGUCAGACAAUGCCUCAUAUCCUAUCAGAGGCCUUCCAUUUCCAUUUUGGGAGUUUAAAGAAUUUGGUAUCCCAGAUUAAUCUGCCUUUUGAGCAUGAAAACAGUGGGUAAUAUUUUCCAUUCCUUUCAUUGGUGAGCCAAAAACUCAAGGUGCAAGUGGAAUUCGAUCUUUAAGACUCUUUCUACCACACUUCGUGCAAGUCUUCCCUCUCCUGGCUCCAAGAGGUGUUGCCAAAGGAGAUUACCAUCUGAGUCAGUGGACUGGGAGAGACAGACCCACCCUCAGUCUGGGUGGGUACCAUCUAAUCAGCUACCCACACGGCUAGAAUAAAGCAGGCAGAAGAAAGUGAUCAACAGACUUGCUGAGUCUUCUGGCCUUCAUCUUUCUCCCGUGCUGGAUGCUUCCUGCCCCUGAACGUCAGACUCCAAGUUCUUCAGAUUAUGGACACUUGGACUUACACCAGUGGUUCACCAGGGGCUCUCGAGCCUUUGGCCACAGACUGAGCUCCUUGGGGAACACAGCAAAUGAAGAUGACCCAGGGAAAAAGGGGUAGUGAUGCCAAGUUCUUAGCAGAACGGCUUUCCAAAAGACGUGCUAUGCAGAGUCAGGGUUCUCCAAGGAGACUAUGUAUAUAAAAUAAGAAUUGGCUUGCACAUUUUGGAGGCUGACAAGACUUAAGAUCUGCAAUCAGCAAGCUGCAGACCCGGGAGAGAGGAUAGUAUCAUUCCUGUCCAAGUCCAUGAACUAGGAGAGCCAGUGAUGAUUCCAGGUCUGCACCUGCUUCUCCUCUGAUUCUUCUUUACCAGCUAUCCAUAUUUACUCCAUCCUGAUGAGCUUCAGCUACCACUCUCGAAGUGUGAUUCUUAAAUCUCUAUCUGCAGUUCAGAACUCUUCUGAAUACCAGAAACCAUAGGUCCAAUUGAUUGUUGACCAUUGCCAUCUGGCAUUAAACAGGACUUCAAGCAUAAAUCCAAAACUGAACUCAUCAGAUUUAUCCCAAAGCUCUUUUUCCCCUUGACAAUUAGUCAAAUAAAAAUAUAAACCACA